rnacentral:lncRNA from 1 species
CAUUAGGGUCAUCUGCUUGAGAAGGUUGCUGUAAUGCAGAAAGUGACAUCUUUACCGAGAGUUGAAGUAAUUCCCCCAGCCCCAUUUUAUCUUUUUAGUACCGAUGGUCUUGUAGUGCACCCUUCAUCGAAAGAGUAGGCGGUUGAAAGACCCACCUCUGAAUAAACCUUUAGGUUGGGAGAUAUCAAAGGGGAACCUCGCCUAGCUUAUCUGUCCUUGUAUUAUUCAACUCAUCUGUCCACUUAUCUUGUCCAAAGCAGAAGGAAUAUAAAAAUCCUUUGUUUCGAGGGUAAUCCGCCAGUCUUUGAGGUCGCCUUCCUUGCUUGACAGUAUAGCCUGCGGGUGAAAUCCCCGAUGUCGUAUUGUACAUGGGAAUUAAAAUUGUGAGGCCAUUGAAUGAGAAAUCACGACCUUAAACACUUGCCUGUAGCUAUAGUGUCAACUUGACGCGCUGAACGACUAUGAUCAGAA